AGUGAACGCUGGCGGUAGGCCUAACACAUGCAAGUCGAACGGCAGCACAGUAAGAGCUUGCUCUUACGGGUGGCGAGUGGCGGACGGGUGAGGAAUACAUCGGAAUCUACUUUUUCGUGGGGGAUAACGUAGGGAAACUUACGCUAAUACCGCAUACGACCUACGGGUGAAAGCAGGGGAUCUUCGGACCUUGCGCGAUUGAAUGAGCCGAUGUCGGAUUAGCUAGUUGGCGGGGUAAAGGCCCACCAAGGCGGCGAUCCGUAGCUGGUCUGAGAGGAUGAUCAGCCACACUGGAACUGAGACACGGUCCAGACUCCUACGGGAGGCAGCAGUGGGGAAUAUUGGACAAUGGGCGCAAGCCUGAUCCAGCCAUACCGCGUGGGUGAAGGAGGCCUUCGGGUUGUAAAGCCCUUUUGUUGGGAAAGAAAAGCAGCAGGUUAAUACCCCGCUGUUCUGACGGUACCCAAAGAAUAAGCACCGGCUAACUUCGUG
rnacentral:rRNA from 1 species